GACGAACGCUGGCGGCGUGCUUAACACAUGCAAGUCGAGCGGUAAGGCCCUUUCGGGGGUACACGAGCGGCGAACGGGUGAGUAACACGUGGGUGACCUGCCCUCAGCUCUGGGAUAAGCCCGGGAAACUGGGUCUAAUACUGGAUAUGACUCCAUGACGCAUGUUGUGGGGUGGAAAGCCUUGUGCGGCUGAGGAUGGGCCCGCGGCCUAUCAGCUUGUUGGUGGGGNGAUGGCCUACCAAGGCGACGACGGUAGCCGGCCUGAGAGGGCGACCGGCCACACUGGGACUGAGACACGGCCCAAACUCCUACGGGAGGGCAGCAGUGGGGAAUCUUGCGCAAUGGGCGAAAGCCUGACGCAGCGACGCCG
rnacentral:rRNA from 1 species